rfam:Schistosoma margrebowiei strain Zambia genome assembly, scaffold: SMRZ_scaffold0000031
AUCCAGCUGACGAGUCCUAGAAUAUAACGAAACGUGCUUCAAACUGGAU